UCUGUUUUAGUAUAAUGGUAUUAUGUUGGCUUUUCGUGCUGUAGAUGGUUGUUUGACUGAACAGAU
rnacentral:tRNA from 1 species